AGAGUUUGAUCAUGGCUCAGAUUGAACGCUGGUGGCAGGCCUAACACAUGCAAGUCGAGCGGUAGCACAAGAGAGCUUGCUCUCUGGGUGACGAGCGGCGGACGGGUGAGUAAUGUCUGGGAAACUGCCUGAUGGAGGGGGAUAACUACUGGAAACGGUAGCUAAUACCGCAUAACGUCUUCGGACCAAAGUGGGGGACCUUCGGGCCUCACGCCAUCAGAUGUGCCCAGAUGGGAUUAGCUAGUAGGUGGGGUAAUGGCUCACCUAGGCGACGAUCCCUAGCUGGUCUGAGAGGAUGACCAGCACACUGGAACUGAGACACGGUCCAGACUCCUACGGGAGGCAGCAGUGGGGAAUAUUGCACAAUGGGCGCAAGCCUGAUGCAGCCAUGCCGCGUGUGUGAAGAAGGCCUUCGGGUUGUAAAGCACUUUCAGCGAGGAGGAAGGGUAGUGUGUUAAUAGCACAUUGCAUUGACGUUACUCGCAGAAGAAGCACCGGCUAACUCCGUGCCAGCAGCCGCGGUAAUACGGAGGGUGCAAGUGUUAAUCGGAAUUACUGGGCGUAAAGCGCACGCAGGCGGUUUGUUAAGUCAGAUGUGAAAUCCCCGCGCUUAACGUGGGAACUGCAUUUGAAACUGGCAAGCUAGAGUCUUGUAGAGGGGGGUAGAAUUCCAGGUGUAGCGGUGAAAUGCGUAGAGAUCUGGAGGAAUACCGGUGGCGAAGGCGGCCCCCUGGACAAAGACUGACGCUCAGGUGCGAAAGCGUGGGGAGCAAACAGGAUUAGAUACCCCGGUAGUCC
rnacentral:rRNA from 1 species